rnacentral:rRNA from 1 species
AGAGAGAGACAUGCGCGCAUAUCAAUAAGCGGAGGAAAAGAAACUAACAAGGAUUCCCUUAGUAACGGCGAGUGAAGCGGGAAGAGCUCAAAUUUGAAAUCUUCAAGGUUUUACCUUGACGAAUUGUAGUUUAAAGAAGUGUUUUCUGCUGAAGGUUUUGGUAAAAGUUCUUUGGAAUAGGACAUCAUAGAGGGUGAGAAUCCCGUAUUUGACCAUUAUUUUCAGCUUUGUGAUACACUUUCAAAGAGUCGGAUUGUUUGGGAAUGCAGUCCAAAAUGGGUGGUAAAUUUCAUCUAAAGCUAAAUAUUGGCGAGAGACCGAUAGCGAACAAGUACCGUGAGGGAAAGAUGAAAAGAACUUUGAAAAGAGAGUUAAACAGUACGUGAAAUUGUCAAAAGGGAAGCGUUUGACACCAGUGUUGUUUUCUCGAAAAUCAAUUAAAAAUGGCUCGAUUUUGUAUUGUUGAGACCUUAAAAGCUCACUGUACAUUUUUCGUGUCUUUUUUAAUGCACUUUUCGUUUAACAAGUCAACAUCAGUUUCUUUUGUUGUAAAAGGGUCAUUGGAAGGUGGCUUUCUUUUCGGAGAAAGUGUUUAUAGCCUUUGGCCUCUGCAAUCGAAGAGACUGAGGUCUGCAGCGUAGACUCUUCGGGGUUAGAUACAUUUGUGCUAAGUUAUAGCUUUUUAUAGACAACUUGUUGACUAUAAUUAGUCUUGUAGCUUACUCGCUUAUGCUAUUUUACCUACGCUUAGGAUGUUGAAGAUGUAGCACAUCAU